rnacentral:rRNA from 1 species
UACGUAGGGCGCAAGCGUUGUCCGGAAUUAUUGGGCGUAAAGAGCUCGUAGGCGGCUUGUCACGUCGGGUGUGAAAGCCCGGGGCUUAACCCCGGGUCUGCAUUCGAUACGGGCUAGCUAGAGUGUGGUAGGGGAGAUCGGAAUUCCUGGUGUAGCGGUGAAAUGCGCAGAUAUCAGGAGGAACACCGGUGGCGAAGGCGGAUCUCUGGGCCUUACCUGACGCUCAGGCGCGAAAGCUAGGGGAGCGAACAGG